rnacentral:rRNA from 1 species
UACGUAGGGUGCGAGCGUUGUCCGGAAUUAUUGGGCGUAAAGAGCUCGUAGGCGGUCUGUCGCGUCGAUCGUGAAAACUUGGGGCUUAACCCUGAGCUUGCGGUCGAUACGGGCAUGACUGGAGUUCGGCAGGGGAGACUGGAAUUCCUGGUGUAGCGGUGAAAUGCGCAGAUAUCAGGAGGAACACCGGUGGCGAAGGCGGGUCUCUGGGCCGCAACUGACGCUGAGGAGCGAAAGCAUGGGGAGCGAACAGG